rnacentral:misc_RNA from 1 species
GUAUUAGAGCAGGACGCUGUGAGGAUGUAACAACUGUGAUGUUCAUAUCCUUGGCAAGCCUAUAAAGUUGUUCCUCAACAUCAACACUUGUGGCAUUGGUGCACUCGUCAAGAAUGCCAAAUUUGGGCUUGUGAAAGAAUAGGCGUGCCAUGCCUAAUCUCUGUUGUUCUCCAAGAGAGAGAAUAUCUUCCCAAUUCAAAUUAGCAUCCCAACCACCUUCCUCCCUUUCCAGAAGAUAAUUUAAUCGAACAUUCUCCAGAAUAGCUUUUAAGCGUGCAUCGAGAAUCUUUGUGGUGUCACCAGAUAUUUUAUCUUCGCCAUGCAACUUUAAUGUCAUGAGUGCUGCUUCAUCGUGAGAGAGAGGAUAUACAAUUUGAUCUCUCAAGGUUCCUAAGCAUGUGUAUGGUCGUUGAGGAACAUAGAAGAUGCCACAACCAGAUUCACUAUCUUCAUUAUUAAGUUGAGAUGCUUUGGCAAGUCUGCCACUCACAAUAGGCCAAAGACCUCUAAGGACUCUGAAAAUAGAACUUUUCCCACUUCCAUUUGGACCUGUAACAAGCAAGCUUUUUCCUCGUACUAUGUCACAUGUCAACCGCCUUGCCAACAAUUUCUGCGCAGGUGUAAUGAUAUCAACCUCCACAAAGGAAAUGGCAUCUUUCACAUUACUAUCACUCUCCAUAGAUGUAGAUAGUUUAUCAACCAACCAAUCCCCAGACUGAGCAGUAUCUAGAAGCUCUUCCAGCUCAAAAAUUCUAUUUAUACUGCCAGAGAGCUCAAGGAACUUCUUAUGCAGUUCAAGAAUGUCUCCAAAUGCUAAAAAGCUCUGAGAGACUACAGAGGCUAAGAACCGCAAUGCAUGUGCCAGCUCACCUUGAGUUGAAACCUGAGCUCGGUCUCCCUUGUGUUCCAUUGCAUACAACAAGCUCAAACCCCAAGUUACAUUAUGUGGGAGUUGCUUUGUGACAAAAUCAUCUAGGAUACCAUAUAGCCAUUUCUUCUUUAGAAGUAACAAAGAAUGGUCCAGCAGUUCACUGAAUCUUGACUCAAUCAUAGCUUUUUCUCUUGCACCACCUCCAAAGAAGGCAACAGACUCGGCAUGUGUACAUAGUCUUUCGUGCAUGAACCUAAAAGUUCCUUCAAGUUGUUGCUCUCGACUUGCAAGAUCACCAAAGUCAGGAGUUACAGUUCUCAAAAAACCCAGACCAAGCAGCAUAUAAGUAUACAAUAUGGCAACUCCCCUCUGACCUGUUAACAGCUUCAUUCUCCAGGUAAACCACAAGAUGUCUACUAAUGGCUUUACCAUUCCAGUUACCAGUCCGGACAAGUCUCUGGUCAGCUUUUCAAGAUCAUCAGUUAUUCUUUGAUCUGCAUCAAUAUUUUUGCUUGACAUAUGAAAGACCUUGUAAAAUGCAUUGUUUCUCAAAUAGUUACUUAGUAGAUGCUGAGUCAAAUGAAUCCUCCAUCCAAGGGCCAACCUGGCUGUCAAGUGCCUCAAUGAAGGUGCAAUGAAAGAAGAUGCAGCACUUUGAAGAAUACUAACACCAAUUAAUCGAAUAAACGAUGUUUUAUCCUGCUCCAAGACAAACUUUACAGUGGUGCCAUUCAAUGAGGCAAUCCGAUCGGAGACCCAUGUUCUUGAGACAACAAGAACAGCAACUGCAAGUAAUUGUGCCCCUUGUUUAUCAAGUAAAGUUGGUACCAGUAUUUUAAACAUGGCAGCCACUCUCAAUGCCAAUACCCUUGGAUCCCUUUGGAGCUGUGGGACAAUUGGUAAAGGAAGACCAGGAUCUGCACUAGGACAUGCCACUAUCACCUCUGAAAUAUAUGAUUGCGACUUUGAAUUUGAGAAUGUAGAAUCCUUAUCAGACGUGGCAAAUGCACGUUGAACUAACAUCGCAUCACUUUUGCGUUCCGUCUUAGAAGCCCUUGUGUCAUUGGUCCCAGGUUCCUUCAGGUCAGCAGAAUCCCUCCUUUUGUAACUAACUCGCCAGCCCCCUUCUCCAUCCAAGGACAAAACAACAUCAUGAAACGCAACUAGAGCUGGACGGUGCGAUAUUGUUAUGCAUGAAGUUCCCAUAGCAAGAACUUUCGCACAAAAUCGUUCCUCCAUGUCAGUAGUCACUGCACUGGUGCACUCAUCAAGAAAUGCAAAUUUAGGCUUGUGGUAGAACAGUC